GUGCUCACUUUGGCAGCACAUAUACUAAAAAAUUGGAACGAUACAGAGAGGAUUAGCAUGGCCUCUGCACAAGGAUGACAUGCAAAUUCGUGAAGCGUUCCAUAUUUUU
ensembl:snRNA U6 U6 spliceosomal RNA